rnacentral:ncRNA from 1 species
GGUCGGGUAGCGAGUAGUGAUACAACACCCUUAGGGGGAAAGCUGCUGGCCGACUUUGCACGGUGUUCAAGUACCCGACCGCCCCACU